UCCAGUUUUUUGAAAAUGCAU
rnacentral:piRNA from 1 species